GUGGCGAGUGGCGGACGGGUGAGUAAUGCAUCGGGAUCUACCCAAACGUGGGGGAUAACGUAGGGAAACUUACGCUAAUACCGCAUACGUCCUACGGGAGAAAGCGGGGGACCGAAAGGCCUCGCGCGGUUGGACGAACCGAUGUGCGAUUAGCUAGUUGGUAGGGUAAUGGCCUACCAAGGCGACGAUCGCUAGCUGGUCUGAGAGGAUGAUCAGCCACACUGGAACUGAGACACGGUCCAAAUUCCUAAGAGGCAGGCAACAGUGGAAAAUAUUGGACAAUGGGCGCAAGCCUGAUCCAGCAAUGCCGCGUGUGUGAAGAAGGCCUUCGGGUUGUAAAGCACUUUUAUCAGGAGCGAAAUACUACUGGCUAAUAACCGGUGGGGCUGACGGUACCUGAGGAAUAAGCACCGGCUAACUUCGUGCCAGCAGCCGCGGUAAUACGAAGGGUGCAAGCGUUAAUCGGAAUUACUGGGCGUAAAGCGUGCGUAGGCGGUAAUUUAAGUCUGU
rnacentral:rRNA from 1 species